rnacentral:rRNA from 1 species
AAGUCGAGCGGUAGCACAGAGAGCUUGCUCUCGGGUGACGAGCGGCGGACGGGUGAGUAAUGUCUGGGAAACUGCCUGAUGGAGGGGGAUAACUACUGGAAACGGUAGCUAAUACCGCAUAACGUCGCAAGACCAAAGUGGGGGACCUUCGGGCCUCAUGCCAUCAGAUGUGCCCAGAUGGGAUUAGCUGGUAGGUGGGGUAACGGCUCACCUAGGCGACGAUCCCUAGCUGGUCUGAGAGGAUGACCAGCCACACUGGAACUGAGACACGGUCCAGACUCCUACGGGAGGCAGCAGUGGGGAAUAUUGCACAAUGGGCGCAAGCCUGAUGCAGCCAUGCCGCGUGUGUGAAGAAGGCCUUCGGGUUGUAAAGCACUUUCAGCGGGGAGGAAGGCGGUGAGGUUAAUAACCUCAUCGAUUGACGUUACCCGCAGAAGAAGCACCGGCUAACUCCGUGCCAGCAGCCGCGGUAAUACGGAGGGUGCAAGCGUUAAUCGGAAUUACUGGGCGUAAAGCGCACGCAGGCGGUCUGUCAAGUCGGAUGUGAAAUCCCCGGGCUCAACCUGGGAACUGCAUUCGAAACUGGCAGGCUAGAGUCUUGUAGAGGGGGGUAGAAUUCCAGGUGUAGCGGUGAAAUGCGUAGAGAUCUGGAGGAAUACCGGUGGCGAAGGCGGCCCCCUGGACAAAGACUGACGCUCAGGUGCGAAAGCGUGGGGAGCAAACAGGAUUAGAUACCCUGGUAGUCCACGCUGUAAACGAUGUCGAUUUGGAGGUUGUGCCCUUGAGGCGUGGCUUCCGGAGCUAACGCGUUAAAUCGACCGCCUGGGGAGUACGGCCGCAAGGUUAAAACUCAAAUGAAUUGACGGGGGCCCGCACAAGCGGUGGAGCAUGUGGUUUAAUUCGAUGCAACGCGAAGAACCUUACCUGGUCUUGACAUCCACAGAACUUUCCAGAGAUGGAUUGGUGCCUUCGGGAACUGUGAGACAGGUGCUGCAUGGCUGUCGUCAGCUCGUGUUGUGAAAUGUUGGGUUAAGUCCCGCAACGAGCGCAACCCUUAUCCUUUGUUGCCAGCGGUUCGGCCGGGAACUCAAAGGAGACUGCCAGUGAUAAACUGGAGGAAGGUGGGGAUGACGUCAAGUCAUCAUGGCCCUUACGACCAGGGCUACACACGUGCUACAAUGGCAUAUACAAAGAGAAGCGACCUCGCGAGAGCAAGCGGACCUCAUAAAGUAUGUCGUAGUCCGGAUUGGAGUCUGCAACUCGACUCCAUGAAGUCGGAAUCGCUAGUAAUCGUAGAUCAGAAUGCUACGGUGAAUACGUUCCCGGGCCUUGUACACACCGCCCGUCACACCAUGGGAGUGGGUUGCAAAAGAAGUAGGUAGCUUAACCUUCGGGAGG